UCGAGAAUCUUCCCCAAUGGACGAAAGUCUGAGGGAGCGACGCCGCGUGCAGGAAGAAGCCCUUCGGGAUGUAAACUGCUUUUCUAUGGGACGAACAUUGACGGUACCAUAGGAAUAAGGGGCUGCUAACUCUGUGCCAGCAGCAGCGGUAAUACAGAGACCCCGAGCGUUAUCCGGAUUUAUUGGUCGUAAAGCGUCUGUAGGCGUCCUGGUACGUCCCUGGUUAAAGCCCGCCGCUCAACGGCGGAACCGCCGGGGAAACCGCCAGGAUAGAGGUUGUGAGAGGCAAGCGGAAUUGCCGGUGUAGUAGUAAAAUGCGUUAAUAUCGGCAAGAACACCAAAGGCGGAAGCAGCUUGCUAGAACACACCUGACGCUGAGAGACGAAAGCGUGGGGAGCGA
rnacentral:rRNA from 1 species